CCUACGGGAGGCAGCAGUGAGGAAUAUUGGUCAAUGGGCGCAAGCCUGAACCAGCCAUGCCGCGUGCAGGAAGAAUGCCCUACGGGUUGUAAACUGCUUUUAUUUGGGAAUAAACCUUUCUACGUGUAGAAAGCUGAAGGUACCAAUUGAAUAAGCACCGGCUAACUCCGUGCCAGCAGCCGCGGUAAUACGGAGGGUGCAAGCGUUAUCCGGAAUCAUUGGGUUUAAAGGGUCCGCAGGCGGACCUAUAAGUCAGUGGUGAAAGCCUACAGCUUAACUGUAGAACUGCCAUUGAAACUGUAGGUCUUGAAUUCGGUCGAAGUGGGCGGAAUGUGUAGUGUAGCGGUGAAAUGCAUAGAUAUUACACAGAACACCGAUAGCGAAGGCAGCUCACUAGGCCUGGAUUGACGCUCAGGGACGAAAGCGUGGGGAUCAAACAGGAUUAGAUACCCUGGUAGUCCACGCCGUAAACUAUGAUUACUCGUUUUCGGCGAUAUACAGUCGGGGACUAAGCGAAAGUGAUAAGUAAUCCACCUGGGGAGUACGAUCGCAAGGUUGAAACUUAAAGGAAUUGACGGCUGAGAGNGCGACGACGACGACGAGGGAGGAGG
rnacentral:rRNA from 1 species